rnacentral:snRNA from 8 species
CGACUCUGGUUUCUCUUCAUUACGCACAAGCCUUUCGCCUUUUACUAAAGACUUCCGUGGGAGAGGAACACUUACGAUUUCAACGUUUUUUUGGAAGGGGCUUUUGCUUCUG